GCAAUGUUUGUCUCUGGGAUCAUGAGUCGAAAAUGCCAUGGCUUCACUCAGGUUUGGUCCCUGAAACAAGCAGUCAGGAUGCUCAGCAUCAGAUUGUGUUUGGAUAUUUUGCUAUCCAAGUUGUAAGACAUCUGUAUUCUACACACAUUUAUGACUGGCUUGACACCUGAAUCUUACUUUGCCAUGAGUGAUGGGAUAAUAUCCUCCACUGGGUCUGAAAGCAGCUAAAUAGUUUAGGGACCAUUGGAUGAUAAAUACAGCAUAGUGCAGCCCACUCCUCCUCCAGAGGGAAAAGAGUCCAGCCAUCAGGAGAGAUUCCUGGAGAUCUGCUGCUGUCCCACAACUUCUGUUGUCUUGUAAAUCUCACAGCUGUCAAGUAUAAAGAACUGUGGUAACAGCCAACUGCCAUUUUAUGCUAUUUAUAACUCUCCUUUGAGCUGAUUGGCUGAUUGGUCAACAAGCUGUUGAGUUCAGCUCUGUACUGUUUGUCCAUGCUCAACUGAUGUUCUAGAAUCUUGUCAGCAGAGGUUAUAUAAGACUUGUAUCUUUCAACAAUCUUGUCUUAGCCUCAGGAUGGUAACCUGAAGAGGUCUGAUCCAUUUGGCCACAACGAAACUGUCUCCUCAUAAAGGCAACACAAGCUCUCUUUUAAAGGCUUUCCAGGAAGAAAAACAAGAUGUGGUUAAAGAGCAUGAAAAAAGGCUCUGGAAUACUUGGCCAGGCUUACAACUCCUAAAAGGUUUGUUCUGGAACCCCCACCCGUUUCAAAAUGAGGAAGGGAAACCAAAACUAUGUGGAACUUGCUUGUCUCAAAGUCAGAGAAUUUGGGUUGAAAGGAAACGUAAAACUACACCGCUGGUGGGGCUUAGGAAACUAUUUUGGAGCCUGGAGGAGAGGAGGGAAAAAAGAGCACAAUUGUCAAUAAGGUUUUCCCCGACUAUGGAAGGCCCUUUUCACACAAUUGAAUAAAAUCCCAUAUUAUCUGCUUUGAACUGGAAUAUAUGGCAGUAUGGACUUAAACUGGAUUAUUUAACGCAGAUAUUGUGGGAUUUUCUUCCUUAAUAUUCUGGGCUAUAUGAUUGUGUGGAAAAGCCCUAAGAAAAAGGCCACUGUAAACAUACCCCAUUUAAAUGUUAAUACAAAAAAUACCAAUGACGGUAAUUUACAAAUGUUUCUAGCUUUAUAAAAUGGAGACUGUCAGGUUAUAAAAGAAUGUUGCAGUGCCUGUUUCCAGGUGCCCUCUUUCUAACCAAGGAAAAUUGAAGGGAAUAGAAGGUGGUUGCCUCCAAAGGGUUCUGAGUUUGAAUUUGCUACCAUCGGAUCCUGAGUGACAGUUAAUAGAAGUCAGGAAGAAUGUUUACCUUCCAGGUGGCUUUAAUUUUUCUUUUCUAAUGUUGUCUGUCUAAAGAUGCUGUAUUAUUUAUUACUUUGUGGCCUAUUGUUGGUACCUCUGUCAUACAUUUGAUGGGAUAUUGAUACAAGACAUUGGGCAGAAUUCAUUUUAGUAUGAAGAGUAUAGGAGCAUGCAGGUUGCCAUGUCUCAGUUCUCUAAGUUCAGCUAAAUUAUGUUGCUUAAUAUGCAAAUUGUGCCAUUUUAAUUGUGGCAUAUGCAUCCACAAAUAUUUUAACUUUUGAAUUACCUGUCUACAGCUAGCACUGAUCUGAAAGAAAUAUAAUAUAGUCAUUCUGCUACAUCAGUGGUUCCCAAACCUAUUUGGCCUACCGCCCCCUUUCCAGAAAAAAUAUUACUCAGCGCCCCUGGAAAUUAAUUUUUAAAAUCUUUUAAAAGCAAUUAAACAGAAAGAUAUAUGUAUUAAUGUUUCUACCUUUUUCGUAAAACAUAGUAAAGAAAGGUGUAAAUUAGAAAUAUUGAAGUUUGAAAUUAUGAAGCUAUUUUUUGAACUCAGAAUAGAAAGGUAAUACAGUUAUUCAUCGUCCCCAAAUGCACCUGUGGCCAUCACCGCCCCCCUGGAUUGCUGCAGCACCCACCAGAGGGUGGUAGCACCC
rnacentral:lncRNA from 1 species